AUGAAAAACAGGGGGUCUUUAAAUUUUGCACAGUGCUGUAUGUCACCUUGGUUAAUAAUCGAAAAGAAUCUCUUUGGGCUGGCUGAAGAGGUGGUUCUUCUCUGGCCUGUGGAGAGAGUAUAGUAGAAGGGUCAAUCUAUUAAGAUAUUUGUAAGAAGGCAUUUGAAAUAAACAUCAAACUCUCCUCCCAAGCACUCAUUAUCUGAUUCAACAAAAAGCCAAAAAAUAAUACAUCCUUACAAUUCGUGAGAUGAGCCGCCCUGGCAGGGAAUGCUGAAGAGCUUCUUCUUCUCAGACAUGUAAUUAAGAGCCACAAGUCAACACCACAGUCAAGCCUGGGCCAUGUUUGAAGAUCUCCAUCUGAAGUGUGCAGUGAUGUACGCUGUGUGGCUUGUGAAUCUACAGCCUGCCUUGUCCUCCUCCAUUGGUGUUCAUCUGUUGGUGUCCGGCGAGCAGACAAAAGGAGAAUCACUGGCGAUGGCAAGGUACUACUGGGUGUAAGUGCUAGUAACCUCUCCCCAGUAGUCUUCACAUGUCUUCAAGACAUGGCUUCACAUCGUGAAGAUCUUCCAUACACACACCAUGUAAUCACAAGUAUGAUUCAUAACACGAGCAAAAAACCCGGAAACUUACUCCGACCGUGUCACCGCAGCUGUGAGAACACAAACAGCCCCCACUAACCUGCCGUUACCUUUUGCCACCUGUCCAACGAUGUCUUCUGAAGCUAAAGUGUGCUGCUUUAACUGAAUGUCUACUUCAACUGUGUGAUCUUACAUUCGCGGACUAAACGGGCGUCUUGCUGGAUGUAACAUCGCUGCUACUUUGAGCUCUGUGUUCUUGAGGCUUGGAUGUUUUUAAAUAAGAGAUUUUGAACUCUUGUUCCUGCCCUAAUAAGUCUAGAAAUUCACCCACGUUUAGCUCAGAGUCUCUCACAGCUGUAUGGAUCCUGUUUUGGCAGAAUCUGAUGGGCCUCUUUCAGCCCAAGAUAAAACACUUGCUCUGCUAUCAGCAUGAGAUGUCCAGCGUUGUUCUUAUACUUUGGAUCAUUUCAUGUGUGGUCCAAAGUGUUCCCUCUACUCAAAGUGGGUGGUUUUCCUGGCUGGCCUCUGGUUUAGGAACACUUUAGCUGUUGUAACCAGUUAAUACAUAUAUUAGAUAUUUUAACAAUAAUUUAAAAGAAAUGCUUAUAAAUUGUGUAAUUGUGCACAUUGGUGUAUAUAAUGCACUAUAGCGAGCCCGGUUUCAUUACUUUUCUGUAUUUUUUCUUUGAUUGAUGAUUUGAUUUACUGUGAUUGGUCAUAUCAUCGCUGUUGCAACAGAACCUUGGAUCUCCAAACCUGUAACUUUGUUGGAGGAGGAAAACGUUGUUAACUUGUAAUAGAAAUUAAUCUAACAAUCUUCCCCAACCCACCCCCAAGUAAAUUUCUGUUGGUUUGGUCAAAAGGUUUUGCUAAGUGACACAAAUGGAGAUGCAACAGCGACAUUUUCGGAGUUGAAUUGAGUAUAAUAAUCAAAAGCAGAUACAUGUAUUAUUGUUAAAUGGUUAAAUGUAGCUUGUAGUAAGUACUAAGCCUUGGAAUUUCUAUAACUUGUUUGCUGUGUUUUACGCAUGGACAUCUGUUUAAUAGCUUCCAAGAAUAAUUGAUCUCAGACUGGUUGUGUCCUGUAUGUACAGCUUGUUUUGUCCACUCAUAAUUCCAAAAUGUUAGGCUGUCCUUUCAUGCAAGACAGAGCAAGGACCGUCAUCACAUAAAGACUGUGCAAUAUCGGUUAGCCAGUUCCCCUAAAAAACAGUCAAGUUUUUCGAAAAACUAGAAAACUGGUGACCAAAAAGCCACCAGGUGGUAGUUUUAUACUAGUUAAACUUGUAGGGUUGUCUUGGGGAGGUUAGCAAACUCAGAAACUAAGAUACUGAAUCUGCUUGGUUUAACUGAAUAUAUACAUAUUAAUUAAUGUCUAUACACACCUCUACAGACUCUUCAGCAAGUUUGUCAGGCACUUGUAGUUAGAGGGGAAGAGCUUAGGCAGUUGGGAGGAUGGACAAGAGGAUGGCUGGUGCUGUUCAUUUAAAAAAUUGCAUUGGCUCAAGGGUUUAUAAUCUGGAGGGAUAGUUUUGUUGUUUAUUAUAUCUAUUUAGAUAUGUUCAUGACUGUACUAGCUCACUAGGUUUGGCUGUCCAUUUCGCUUACACCCCCAGGGGGAAAGCAGUUCAAAGCACUUCAAAUGCAUGCACACUCUAUAUAUUGUCAUCAUAUGCCUACAGGCUGCUUAAUUGCAUUUUCUGCAAAGCUAAACUGAAAGUGCAGUGCAUGCAUUUGCACUUUCAUAGCGCCAGGCCUGCUCCUAAAGACAGUAUGUGGGACUAUGAACAUGUUCAUAUAGUUUUUUAGUUUUUAAAAAAAUUAAUUAAUUAAAAGUUAAUUUUAUUUUAUUUUUUUUGCUGUUUCAUUGAAAGCUGGCAAAGUAUCAAACACAACAGAACAGUUGAAGUACAGAUUACAAGGCACUUAACAGACCUUGUAGCUAAAUAUGCCAGAAUGUCUAGAAAGACAGAAGCUUGGGACAGUUACUAGGGACACAGCUGGUCUUUUGCCUAUGAAGCACAGUGUCCUGGUGUCAGCUGAAAGUUUUGAAAAACAUGUGUAUGUUCAUUGUACAGAACUUAAUUUACUUAUUUAAAACAUUACAACUGAAGAGCAAAAUACAUUAACUACAGCACACAGUUCUAUUUGGAAAGUCUUAAUAGUUAAAAAUGCCUUACUUUUAUGAAGUAGGUCAGAGUUGUUAAUAUAAUGCUGGAAGACAUGGCAUUCAAGCUUUUUUUGGCCCCAUCUAGAUAUUUUUUAUGGAAGCAUGGAGCUUGAGGGGAACUCGCGCCUCUUGCCCAGUGUCUUUUCUGCCUUUUGAGUGCGUUUCUGAUAUACGUGGUUAAGGCUCGUCUACUGCACAGUUAUUGACGCUACUGGUGUUGGAAUAUUUCAUUAUUAUACAUUUUAAUACAGCUUUUUUUGGUAUAUACAUUACAAAAUGUGUGAUCAUCGUUGUAUAGGCUUUGCAAGACAAUAGGAGGUGCAUUAUGUUUUUAUUUGCUCAAACAAUGUAAUAUAUAUGUAUAUUGAUUAAAAUGACAGUGGAUAGAUAAAGAAUUACAACAUUAAAA